GCCAGACUCCUACGGGAGGCAGCAGUGAGGAAUAUUGGUCAAUGGCCGAGAGGCUGAACCAGCCAAGUCGCGUGAGGGAAGACGGCCCUACGGGUUGCAAACCUCUUUUGUCAGGGAACAAAGGCGGGGACGCGUCCCCGGAUGAGUGUACCUGAAGAAAAAGCAUCGGCUAACUCCGUGCCAGCAGCCGCGGUAAUACGGAGGAUGCGAGCGUUAUCCGGAUUUAUUGGGUUUAAAGGGUGCGCAGGCGGUCUGUUAAGUCAGCGGUCAAAUCGUGGGGCUCAACCCCAUCCAGCCGUUGAAACUGGGGAUCUAGAGUGUGCGAGAGGUAUGCGGAAUGCGUGGUGUAGCGGUGAAAUGCAUAGAUAUCACGCAGAACCCCGAUUGCGAAGGCAGCAUACCGGUGCACAACUGACGCUCAGGCACGAAAGCGUGGGUAUCGAACAGGAUUAGAUACCCCGGUA
rnacentral:rRNA from 1 species